rnacentral:rRNA from 1 species
UAGAGUUUGAUCCUGGCUCAGGAUAAACGCUGGCGGCGUGCCUUAAACGUGCAAGUCGAACAGUCACCGCAAGGUGAUAGUGGCAGACGGCUGAGUAACACGUAAGUAAUCCAUCCUCGAGUGGGGAAUAACUGCGAGAAAUCGUAGCUAAUACCGCAUAGGCUCGUGAGCGCGAAAGGGUUCGAGAGUAAAGCCGAGAGGCGCUUGGGGGAGAGCUUGCGUCCGAUUAGCUAGUUGGUGGGGUAAGGGCCUACCAAGGCGACGAUCGGUAGCUGGUCUGAGAGGAUGAUCAGCCAGACUGGGACUGAGAAACGGCCCAGACUCCUACGGGAGGCAGCAGUUAGGAAUUUUGGGCAAUGGGCGAAAGCCUGACCCAGCAACGCCGCGUGGGUGAAGAAGGUCUUCGGAUCGUAAAGCCCUUUUCUGUGGGAAGAUGAUGACGGUACCACAGGAAUAAGCAUCGGCUAACUACGUGCCAGCAGCCGCGGUAAUACGUAGGAUGCGAGCGUUGUCCGGAUUUAUUGGGCGUAAAGAGCGCGUAGGUGGUUGGAAAGUUGGGUGUGAAAGACCCUUGGCUUAACUAGGGGAGGUCAUCCAAAACUAUCCAGCUUGAGGGCAGCAGAGGAAAGUGGAAUUCCCGGUGUAGUGGUGAAAUGCGUAGAUAUCGGGAGGAACACCAGUGGCGAAGGCGGCUUUCUGGGCUGUCACUGACGCUGAGGCGCGAAAGCGUGGGGAGCGAACCGAAUUAGAUACUCGGGUAGUCCACGCCCUAAACGAUGGACACUAGGUGUAGUGGGUAUCGACCCCCGCUAUGCCGAAGCUAACGCAUUAAGUGUCCCGCCUGGGGAGUACGGCCGCAAGGCUAAAACUCAAAGGAAUUGACGGGGGCCCGCACAAGCAGCGGAGCGUGUGGUUUAAUUCGACGCAACGCGAAGAACCUUACCAGGACUUGACAUAGCAGUAGUAGGGAGCUGAAAGGCCGACGACCCGCAAGGGAGCUGUUACAGGUGCUGCAUGGCUGUCGUCAGCUCGUGCCGUGAGGUGUUGGGUUAAGUCCCGCAACGAGCGCAACCCCUGUUGCUAGUUGAAUGAUCUAGCGAGACUGCCGAGACAAACUCGGAGGAAGGUGGGGAUGACGUCAAGUCAGCAUGGCCCUUACGUCCUGGGCUACACACACGCUACAAUGGGCCGUACAAAGGGUUGCAAAGGGGUGACCUGGAGCUAAUCCCAACAAAGCGGUCCUCAGUUCAGAUUGCAGGCUGCAACUCGCCUGCAUGAAGUCGGAGUUGCUAGUAACCGUGGGUCAGCACACCGCGGUGAAUACGUACCCGGGCCUUGUACACACCGCCCGUCACGUCAUGAAAGCUGGUAACACCUGAAGUCGAUGGGCUAACCGCAAGGGGGCAGUCGCCGAGGGUGGGACUGGUGAUUGGGACGAAGUCGUAACAAGGUAACC